AUCCAGAUGACGAAUCCCAAAACAGGACGAAAUGCGCGUUGUCUUGGAU
rnacentral:hammerhead_ribozyme from 1 species